rnacentral:rRNA from 1 species
AUUGAACGCUGGCGGCAGGCCUAACACAUGCAAGUCGAGCGAGCGGCGGACGGGUGAGUAAUGUCUGGGAAACUGCCUGAUGGAGGGGGAUAACUACUGGAAACGGUAGCUAAUACCGCAUACCAUCAGAUGUGCCCAGAUGGGAUUAGCUAGUCGGUGGGGUAAUGGCUCACCUAGGCGACGAUCCCUAGCUGGUCUGAGAGGAUGACCAGCCACACUGGAACUGAGACACGGUCCAGACUCCUACGGGAGGCAGCAGUGGGGAAGAGUGAAAAAUGGGCGAAAGCCUGAUGCAGACAUGCCGCGUGUAUGAAGAAGGCCUUUGGGUUGUAAAGUAUGUUCAGCAGGGAGGCGUUACACGCAGAAGAAGCACCGGCUAACUCCGUGCCAGCCGCCGCGGUAAUUC